UUAAGCGACUAAGCGUACACGGUGGAUGCCCUGGCAGUCAGAGGCGAUGAAGGACGUGCUAAUCUGCGAUAAGCGUCGGUAAGGUGAUAUGAACCGUUAUAACCGGCGAUUUCCGAAUGGGGAAACCCAGUGUGAUUCGUCACACUAUCAUUAACUGAAUCCAUAGGUUAAUGAGGCGAACCGGGGGAACUGAAACAUCUAAGUACCCCGAGGAAAAGAAAUCAACCGAGAUUCCCCCAGUAGCGGCGAGCGAACGGGGAGCAGCCCAGAGCCUGAAUCAGUGUGUGUGUUAGUGGAAGCGUCUGGAAAGGCGCGCGAUACAGGGUGACAGCCCCGUACACAAAAAUGCACAUACUGUGAGCUCGAUGAGUAGGGCGGGACACGUGGUAUCCUGUCUGAAUAUGGGGGGACCAUCCUCCAAGGCUAAAUACUCCUGACUGACCGAUAGUGAACCAGUACCGUGAGGGAAAGGCGAAAAGAACCCCGGCGAGGGGAGUGAAAAAGAACCUGAAACCGUGUACGUACAAGCAGUGGGAGCACAGAGCAAUCUGUGUGACUGCGUACCUUUUGUAUAAUGGGUCAGCGACUUAUAUUCUGUAGCAAGGUUAACCGAAUAGGGGAGCCGAAGGGAAACCGAGUCUUAACUGGGCGUUAAGUUGCAGGGUAUAGACCCGAAACCCGGUGAUCUAGCCAUGGGCAGGUUGAAGGUUGGGUAACACUAAUUGGAGGACCGAACCGACUAAUGUUGAAAAAUUAGCGGAUGACUUGUGGCUGGGGGUGAAAGGCCAAUCAAACCGGGAGAUAGCUGGUUCUCCCCGAAAGCUAUUUAGGUAGCGCCUCGUGAAUUCAUCUCCGGGGGUAGAGCACUGUUUCGGCAAGGGGGUCAUCCCGACUUACCAACCCGAUGCAAACUGCGAAUACCGGAGAAUGUUAUCACGGGAGACACACGGCGGGUGCUAACGUCCGUCGUGAAGAGGGAAACAACCCAGACCGCCAGCUAAGGUCCCAAAGUCAUGGUUAAGUGGGAAACGAUGUGGGAAGGCCCAGACAGCCAGGAUGUUGGCUUAGAAGCAGCCAUCAUUUAAAGAAAGCGUAAUAGCUCACUGGUCGAGUCGGCCUGCGCGGAAGAUGUAACGGGGCUAAACCAUGCACCGAAGCUGCGGCAGCGACGCUGAUGCGUUGUUGGGUAGGGGAGCGUUCUGUAAGCCUGUGAAGGUGUGCUGUGAGGCAUGCUGGAGGUAUCAGAAGUGCGAAUGCUGACAUAAGUAACGAUAAAGCGGGUGAAAAGCCCGCUCGCCGGAAGACCAAGGGUUCCUGUCCAACGUUAAUCGGGGCAGGGUGAGUCGACCCCUAAGGCGAGGCCGAAAGGCGUAGUCGAUGGGAAACAGGUUAAUAUUCCUGUACUUGGUGUUACUGCGAAGGGGGGACGGAGAAGGCUAUGUUGGCCGGGCGACGGUUGUCCCGGUUUAAGCGUGUAGGCUGGUUUUCCAGGCAAAUCCGGAAAAUCAAGGCUGAGGCGUGAUGACGAGGCACUACGGUGCUGAAGCAACAAAUGCCCUGCUUCCAGGAAAAGCCUCUAAGCAUCAGGUAACAUCAAAUCGUACCCCAAACCGACACAGGUGGUCAGGUAGAGAAUACCAAGGCGCUUGAGAGAACUCGGGUGAAGGAACUAGGCAAAAUGGUGCCGUAACUUCGGGAGAAGGCACGCUGAUAUGUAGGUGAAGUCCCUCGCGGAUGGAGCUGAAAUCAGUCGAAGAUACCAGCUGGCUGCAACUGUUUAUUAAAAACACAGCACUGUGCAAACACGAAAGUGGACGUAUACGGUGUGACGCCUGCCCGGUGCCGGAAGGUUAAUUGAUGGGGUCAGCGCAAGCGAAGCUCUUGAUCGAAGCCCCGGUAAACGGCGGCCGUAACUAUAACGGUCCUAAGGUAGCGAAAUUCCUUGUCGGGUAAGUUCCGACCUGCACGAAUGGCGUAAUGAUGGCCAGGCUGUCUCCACCCGAGACUCAGUGAAAUUGAACUCGCUGUGAAGAUGCAGUGUACCCGCGGCAAGACGGAAAGACCCCGUGAACCUUUACUAUAGCUUGACACUGAACAUUGAGCCUUGAUGUGUAGGAUAGGUGGGAGGCUUUGAAGUGUGGACGCCAGUCUGCAUGGAGCCGACCUUGAAAUACCACCCUUUAAUGUUUGAUGUUCUAACGUUGACCCGUAAUCCGGGUUGCGGACAGUGUCUGGUGGGUAGUUUGACUGGGGCGGUCUCCUCCUAAAGAGUAACGGAGGAGCACGAAGGUUGGCUAAUCCUGGUCGGACAUCAGGAGGUUAGUGCAAUGGCAUAAGCCAGCUUGACUGCGAGCGUGACGGCGCGAGCAGGUGCGAAAGCAGGUCAUAGUGAUCCGGUGGUUCUGAAUGGAAGGGCCAUCGCUCAACGGAUAAAAGGUACUCCGGGGAUAACAGGCUGAUACCGCCCAAGAGUUCAUAUCGACGGCGGUGUUUGGCACCUCGAUGUCGGCUCAUCACAUCCUGGGGCUGAAGUAGGUCCCAAGGGUAUGGCUGUUCGCCAUUUAAAGUGGUACGCGAGCUGGGUUUAGAACGUCGUGAGACAGUUCGGUCCCUAUCUGCCGUGGGCGCUGGAGAACUGAGGGGGGCUGCUCCUAGUACGAGAGGACCGGAGUGGACGCAUCACUGGUGUUCGGGUUGUCAUGCCAAUGGCACUGCCCGGUAGCUAAAUGCGGAAGAGAUAAGUGCUGAAAGCAUCUAAGCACGAAACUUGCCCCGAGAUGAGUUCUCCCUGACCCUUUAAGGGUCCUGAAGGAACGUUGAAGACGACGACGUUGAUAGGCCGGGUGUGUAAGCGCAGCGAUGCGUUGAGCUAACCGGUACUAAUGAACCGUGAGGCUUAACCUU
rnacentral:rRNA from 1 species